ensembl:lncRNA
CUGCAGAGCUGGAAGGGACUCUCUGGAUCAUCGUGUACUAGGGACUCGUAGUGACACUCAAAGCCUGACUGAGAUCUUGGUACCCCUCAUGCAUAUCUGCAUCGCUUGCAUUAGCGGGCUUAUAAUAGGUUAAUCCUCCCACCAAGAUGGAUGUGAGCAGGCUUAACCUGAACUGGUUUCGUCUAUUGCUUUUCCACUCAAGUCCUACACAAUUUCUAGAUGGCCCGGGUACAGUUAGUCUACAGUAAAAUAAAGAGCUUCUGGAUGUAUAGAGUGUUAACAUCAUUAAGCAGUGUAUGUAGAAAAUGCAACCCUCAAAAUGUACAAUGCGCCUUUAUAGUGAGGUUUGAACAGCAGUUUAAGAGUAGUUGUAAAACAAUCAGCCAGAGAAAAUCGCUAGUGCAAUUCCCCUUUGGUGCACCCUGUUUCACAAAAGCAAGCGGGGUAGUACAUUCUUCAUACUUCGGUCUGUGGAAGUUCAUGUGUGUGUGCAUGGGGGAGGAACUAAUGACCAAACUCUGUACUUCUAUUCUACCAUUGCUUGUAUCACUCAAAUCUUAAUUAUAGUACAGUGCAUAUGAAUGGCUAUUUUAAGAUUCAGCCUGCCAGUCUUUUUAAAAAUAUAUUCCUCAUUUAAAAAAACCUGAUACCCAGUUGAACACAGUGCCCUUCAGAUGACUGAAAGAAGCAACAACACUAGAACGAGAAGUAAAGUCUGAAAAGGGCUGGAGGUCAUUGCACUUCCCAUGGUAGUAUAAUGUUCUGCUGCAGGAUCCAGAAUCUACCUGAUUCCAAGAUGUUUCCCAAGGUUCAAAUCCUUCUCUUCAUCUUCUGUGUUUUCCUCUGCCUGAAACCUGGGGCUGCCCUGAAAUGUCGAAAAUUUGAUGAGAACCUAAACUGGCCUGAUCCUCCCCCACGGAGUGGGGAAUGUGAAGCUGAUCCUGCAACACACACCUGCCGUGCCCGAAAGAUAUAUGAUCAAGAAGUGAUUCUUCGUCAAAUCAAAUAUAGCUGUGAAGCAAAGGAAACUGCAUUAUGUGGUGUUGAAUCGCUCUCCCCAACCAGGAAAGGUUCUCGAAUUGAAUUCUACUGCUGUGAGGAUGAAGACUUCUGCAAUGACAGCUUCAGCAAUAACUAACGCCAGUGAAUGCUGAAAAUCGUCUGUAGAUCCUCAUCAGAUAGAUGCUUGUAUCUCUUGUCCAUUUGUCUCUUCUUUCCAUUUUCAAUCCCCUUCCAUAUGCCUGCAUGAUUCCAUAUCUCAUAUGUCUUUAUAUCGCAUGUCUUCCACACCUGUAUGAUUCCAUAGCUGCACAAGUUAGACAAUUAUCACUACAUAAUGCUGUAAGUUCCCAUUAAAAUAUACAUAAAACAUGGAAUUAUGGAAUUAGAAGGGACCUAUAAGGCCAUCAAGUCCACCCUGCUGCUCAGUGUAGGAAUACAAUUUAAAGUAUAUUUGACAGAUGGUUGUCUAAUUUUCUCUUGAAUCCCUCCAGCAUGGGAGCACUCAUCACCUCCCAAUGUAUAGUAAUUGGUUCCAUUGUCGUAUUGCUCUAACAGUUAAGAAGUUUUCUGUGAUAUGCAUUCUAAAUCUGGCUUCCUGUAAGUCAAGUUACAGGAAGCCAGAUUUCAGCUGAAUAUCAGAAAAAAAAAACAUCUUAACUGUUAGAGCAGUAUAACAAUGGAACCAAUUUCUUUGGGAAGUGGCAAGCUCUCCAAUGCUGGAGGCAUUCAAGUGAAAAUUAGACAACUUUCUACAGUGGGGUCUCUACUUAAGAACGUCCCUACUUAAGAACAAUCCAACUUAAGAACAGCUCCAUUUGCUAAAUUUUGCUUCUACUUGAGAACAGAAAUCCAAGAUAAGAACAGGAAAAAAAACCUUUCCUGCUCUUUUUUUAACCUUAGGUCAUCUUAGGUUAAAAAAAAUUCUCCCCCUAGUGGUAGAGUACGUAUUAACCAGCUUUGCAUUAGUUCCUAUGGGAACUAAUGCUUCAAUGUACGAACGCACCUCUACAUAACAAAAAAACAGCCAGAACGGAUUAAUUGGUUUUCAGUCCAUUCCUAUGGGAAAUUUUGCUUCAACUUAAGAACGUUUCAACUUAAGAACACCAUUCCAAAACGGAUUAAGUUCUUAAGUAGAGGUUCCACUGUAGUUUCUAUGGACGGAAAAGAGCAGAUACGGAUUAAAUGGUUUUCAAUGCAUUCCUAUGGGAAAUGCAGAUUCAACAUAAGAACUUUUCAACUUGAGAACCACCUUCCAAUACGGAUUAAGUUCUUAAGUAGAGACCCCACUGUAUUAGAUAUGCUUUUAUUUGAAUUCCUGCAUUGAGCAGGUGAUUGGACUCAAUGGCCUUAUAGGCCCUUUCCAACUUCAUGAUUCUAAAAUAAGUCAAUCAUGACUUGGCUCUCUCUGUGUGUAGGUGUGUGUAAGUGUGAGUGGUGGAGGGGAGUGGCUUACUUUAAAAAUGUAUUGGUGUUGCUUUCUGGAGAUAUCAACUGAUAUUGAAUACUAUCUUACAGGCCCAGCCAGGUGUAUAUAUAAUCUUUAUCUAGUUCUCCUAGGAAAAGGGCAAGCAGGACAUCCUAAGAAAACAAUAAAAGUACUAAAACUACAUUACA